CCUCCUUAUACGAUUUANAACUUAUUUGUUCGUAGUGUCCACACAGAUGAUUGUUAGUUAGUUUUAACCUUAGGGUUUAACUGAUUAAUAUGCUCUUUAUAAAUUUGGAAAAGCUGAUAAUAAAAUUCUGAUAGAUACUUUGUAUUUAUCAAGAGUUUUCAAAAGUAAAAAAAGAAUGAUAGCAGUAUCAUUCAGUGCCAAUUUAAUCAUUUAUGAUUAAUUGGGUAUCUACUUUUAAUAUUCAAUAUUAACCUUCUGGCGAAGUUAAACUGGUCACUAACAAAUACCCGUUUGG
rnacentral:misc_RNA from 1 species